rnacentral:miRNA from 1 species
CCAUCGUUGAGCAGUUGUCACAGA